rnacentral:lncRNA from 1 species
UUUAAUAUAAAAGUAAAUAUAAAUAAAAAUAGUGUGAAAUACUAUUUUUAUUGGACUUCAAAAAGUAAAAUAUAUGUCAGAAACGACUUGUGUUGAAAUCGGAACGGAAACAGAAGAUUUAAAAUUUUCUGUAAGAAAUGGGGGCUGAUAUUUUAGCAGAAAAUUCACAGUGUGAGAAAAUUAUGAAAACUUGGAAAUAUGUCGAAAUUAUUUUUGUGAGGCUAGAUUUAAAGUUU